CGUGGCAGUCUUUCUCUUAAGGACUUCCAUUAAUCAUUACUACUGGACCUAGUUGUAUCAGGAAGCUCCAAAGGCAACCACACUUCUACAUCCUGUCUAUGAGUUUAAUGGCUCCAAGUAUCUCAGGCAGAGGAAAUGCUGUUGAGAUGGGACCUGCUACGGCAUCAUACUG